rnacentral:rRNA from 1 species
UUCGCCCUUAGAGUUUGAUCCUGGCUCAGAGCGAACGCUGGCGGCAGGCUUAACACAUGCAAGUCGAGCGGGCCCUUCGGGGUCAGCGGCAGACGGGUGAGUAACGCGUGGGAACGUGCCCUUCGGUUCGGAAUAACUCAGGGAAACUUGAGCUAAUACCGGAUACGCCCUUAUGGGGAAAGGCUUGACUGCCGAAGGAUCGGCCCGCGUCUGAUUAGCUAGUUGGUGAGGUUAUGGCUCACCAAGGCGACGAUCAGUAGCUGGUCUGAGAGGAUGAUCAGCCACACUGGGACUGAGACACGGCCCAGACUCCUACGGGAGGCAGCAGAAGGG